rnacentral:rRNA from 1 species
CCUACGGGCGGCAGCAGUGGGGAAUAUUGGACAAUGGGGGCAACCCUGAUCCAGCCAUGCCGCGUGUGUGAAGAAGGCCCUCGGGUUGUAAAGCACUUUUAGUGAGGAAGAACGCCUGGUGGUUAAUACCCAUCAGGAAAGACAUCACUCACAGAAGAAGCACCGGCUAACUCCGUGCCAGCAGCCGCGGUAAUACGGAGGGUGCGAGCGUUAAUCGGAAUUACUGGGCGUAAAGCGCGCGUAGGUGGCUUGAUAAGCCGGUUGUGAAAGCCCCGGGCUCAACCUGGGAACGGCAUCCGGAACUGUCAAGCUAGAGUGCAGGAGAGGAAGGUAGAAUUCCCGGUGUAGCGGUGAAAUGCGUAGAGAUCGGGAGGAAUACCAGUGGCGAAGGCGGCCUUCUGGACUGACACUGACACUGAGGUGCGAAAGCGUGGGUAGCAAACAGGAUUAGAUACCCUAGUAGUC